UACGUAGGGUGCAAGCGUUGUCCGGAAUUACUGGGCGUAAAGCGCGUGUAGGCGGUUGCCAAAGUCGGGUGUGAAAGCCUUGAGCUCAACUCAAGAAUUGCACUCGAUACUUGGUGACUAGAGGACCGGAGAGGAUAGUGGAAUUCCCAGUGUAGUGGUGAAAUACGUAGAGAUUGGGAAGAACACCAGUGGCGAAGGCGGCUAUCUGGACGGUUUCUGACGCUAAGACGCGAAAGCGUGGGGAGCAAACAGG
rnacentral:rRNA from 1 species